rnacentral:rRNA from 1 species
AACGAACGCUGGCGGCAGGCUUAACACAUGCAAGUCGAACGCCCCGCAAGGGGAGUGGCAGACGGGUGAGUACCGCGUGGGAACAUACCCUUUUCUACGGAAUAGCUCUGGGAAACUGGAAUUAAUACCGUAUACGCCCUACGGGGGAAAGAUUUAUCGGGGAAGGAUUGGCCCGCGUUGGAUUAGCUAGUUGGUGGGGUAAAGGCCUACCAAGGCGACGAUCCAUAGCUGGUCUGAGAGGAUGAUCAGCCACAUUGGGACUGAGACACGGCCCAAACUCCUACGGGAGGCAGCAGUGGGGAAUAUUGGACAAUGGGCGGAAGCAUGAUCCAGCCAUGCCGCGUGAGUGAUGAAGGCCUUAGGGUUGUAAAGCUCUUUCACCGAUGAAGAUAAUGACGGUAGUCGGAGAAGAAGCCCCGGCUAACUUCGUG